rnacentral:snRNA from 1 species
AGCUUUGCGCAGUGGCAGUAUCAUAGCCAAUGAAUUUUAUCCGAGGCGCGAUUAUUGCUAAUUUAUUUCUGCUCUACUCUUUAUUAUUUCUGUCCUGCUGGCUUUAGG